rnacentral:tRNA from 1 species
GUCGGGAUAGCUCAACCGGAAGAGCGCCACGCUUCGGACGUGGAGGCCGGUGGUUCGAAUCCACCUCCCGAUUCCA